rnacentral:rRNA from 1 species
UAAAACCAGCACCUCAAGUGGUCGGGAGAAUUAUUGGGCCUAAAGCAUCCGUAGCCUGUUCUCUAAGUUUUUGGUUAAAUCUAUGUGCUCAACGCAUAGGCCGCCGAAAAUACUGGAGAGCUAGGGAGUGGGAGAGGUAGACGGUACUCGAUAGGAAGGGGUAAAAUCUUUUGAUCUAUCGAUGACCACCUGUGGCGAAGGCGGUCUACCAGAACACGUUCGACGGUGAGGGAUGAAAGCUGGGGGAGCAAACCGGAUUAGAUACCCGGGUAGUCCCAGCUGUAAACGAUGCAGACUCGAUGAUGCAUUGGCAUAUAGCCAGUGCAGUAUCGCAGGGAAGCCGUUAAGUCUGCCGCCUGGGAAGUACGUACGCAAGUAUG